rnacentral:siRNA from 1 species
UACCCUGCCACGGUACAGACCCG